UUCACAGACCUGACAUGAGCUAAUGUUUUUGACAGAGACUUUGGUAGAAACUAUUCAGUCUGACUCUUCUCAGAGUGAACACUUGUACAAUGAAUCUUUAUUCAGUUUUUCUGUUCUGUGCCUUAGCAGGUGCUGUGUUUGGAAAUAUCAAACCAAACAAAACAACUGUUUAUGAGGAGGGUCAAAAUAUUAUAUUAAUUUGUAGUCAUUACCCUGGAAGUACAGAUUAUCUCCACUGGUACCGUCAGUAUGAAAGAUCAAAACCUGAAUUUCUUGUACUCACCCACGGUAAUUCAAAAGAACCGGCGGUGUCUGCUGUAGAUCCAAGAAUCACUGUUGAAGUUGAAAAAAGGGAACAAAACCAUGCAGAUCUGAAGAUCUCCUCUGCUGCUGUAUCAGACUCUGCUCUGUACUACUGUGCUCUGCAGCCCACAGUCACAGGAAACACAUCAGCUCUCUACAAAAACCUGUUACAAUGAGAGACAAAAGAGAGAAGCACAGAGACAUAGAUGAAGACAGAGAAUGAAGCUAACUGUUUUAUACUGUAUAUACAGUAUACUCUAUUAUAUGUAAAAAAAAAAAAAACAACAACUAAUGGAACCAGUAAAAAUAGA